rnacentral:sRNA from 1 species
CUUCAUCCGCCUGCUGCGGGCAGAUGAAGUGGAUGUGCGUGUCGAUGCCGCCCGCCGUGACGAUGUGCCCCUCGCCGGCGAUGACCUCGGUGGUCACGCCCACCACCAUACCCGGGGUCACCCCAGCCAUCACGUCCGGGUUGCCCGCCUUGCCAAUGCCGCGGAUGCGUCCCGCCUUGAUGCCGAUGUCCGCCUUGUAGAUGCCCUUCCAGUCGAUGAUGAGGGCAUUGGUGAUGACGCAGUCCAGCGCCUCGGCGUUGCUCGCGCCCACCUGCUGCCCCAUGCCCUCGCGCAG